GGAGUAAAAGUCGUAACAAGGUUUCCGUAGGUGAACCUGCGGAAGGAUCAUUAUCGUACAAAAUGUGAGGGGCAUGCGAGGGCUGUCGCUGACCCAAAAGUCGUGCACGCCCGAGUGUGUCCUCUUGCAUAAUAAUCCAUCUCACCCUUUGUGCAUCACCGCGUGGGCACCCUUCGGGAUCAUCUCGGAGGGGGGCUCGCGUUUUCACACAAACCCCCCUUUUAAAAGUGUAGAAUGACCACGUUUAUGCAAUCAAUACAACUUUCAACAACGGACCUCUUGGCUCUC
rnacentral:misc_RNA from 1 species